UACGUAGGGCGCAAGCGUCGUCCGGAAUUAUUGGGCGUAAAGAGCUCGUAGGCGGUCUGUCGCGUCCGUUGUGAAAACUCGAGGCUCAACCUCGGGCUUGCAGUGGAUACGGGCAGACUAGAGUGCGGUAGGGGAGACUGGAAUUCCUGGUGUAGCGGUGGAAUGCGCAGAUAUCAGGAGGAACACCGAUGGCGAAGGCAGGUCUCUGGGCCGCAACUGACGCUGAGGAGCGAAAGCAUGGGGAGCGAACAGG
rnacentral:rRNA from 1 species